AUAAAAAUGGUAAUUCCGUAGGUAAUAUUUGUUUUACAAGGCACGUUGGUGACAAUAAUACACAAAUAAUUACAUUGUAUUAUAAUUUUUGUGGUUAGUCUGCUAGCUUUUCCUACGCAUUAACAAUGUCUCUCCGAAAAAAAAACCAAACCAAUAAAUAUUUAGUAAAUAACAAUAAAUAAGUUGAAAUAUAAGGAAGACAGGGAAGUGCCCUACGUUGUACAUAUUUAAAGUAACUAAUAAACAAAAGUAUUAUUUAUAAUUUUUAUAGAUUUGCAUAGAAUAGGUGCAGCAUAAUUUGUCUACUUUGUUGCAAUUGCUGUUGUGUUACUUAAUCAACAUGGAGUUCAGGAGUUCAGAAACGGGUAACUUACUUGGGUGGAAAGACGGAGAAUUCCCAUUGGCUGUUCUUCUGCUAUCGAUAUACUUGGCAUUUGUACUACGCAUUGGACCGACCUUCAUGAAGAACCGCCCCGCUUAUAAAUUGACUGGAACCUUACUGGUCUACAAUGCUAUGCAAGUGUUGAUAUCUUUGUAUCUAGUAAAAAUUUGCUUAAGAGAAAUUCUGGAAUCCGGUUUGCUACCCAGAAAAUGUUAUAUGUUCAUCGAAGAACAUUGGAACUUGGUGAGUGUCAUUAGAAUAGAAAGGAGGCUGUAAAUAAGGAAAAAUAAAAACAUAAAUAACAAAGUCGGCGAUAAUACUUCAGUGUCCUAACACAAGCAUCCAAUUCUGCUAAACUGUGGGUAUUUAUUCUUAUUUACCGUCCCCAAAAACAUUCUUUGUUCAAACAAUACACUUGUACUAAACUCUAUG